rnacentral:rRNA from 1 species
GGGCGCAAGCCUGAUGCAGCGACGCCGCGUGAGGGAUGACGGCCUUCGGGUUGUAAACCUCUUUCGCCAGGGACGAAGCGCAAGUGACGGUACCUGGAGAAGAAGGACCGGCCAACUACGUGCCAGCAGCCGCGGUAAUACGUAGGGUCCGAGCGUUGUCCGGAAUUACUGGGCGUAAAGAGCUCGUAGGUGGUUUGUCGCGUUGUUCGUGAAAACUCACAGCUCAACUGUGGGCGUGCGGGCGAUACGGGCAGACUGGAGUACUGCAGGGGAGACUGGAAUUCCUGGUGUAGCGGUGGAAUGCGCAGAUAUCAGGAGGAACACCGGUGGCGAAGGCGGGUCUCUGGGCAGUAACUGACGCUGAGGAGCGAAAGCGUGGGGAGCGAACAGGAUUAGAUACCCUGGUAGUCCACGCCGUAAACGGUGGGUACUAGGUGUGGGUUUCCUUCCUUGGGAUCCGUGCCGUAGCUAACGCAUUAAGUACCCCGCCUGGGGAGUACGGCCGCAAGGCUAAAACUCAAAGAAAUUGACGG